AAAAAGACAAACCCUAGAUUUACGUGUCCAACGUUUGACUGUCCGUCUUAUAUGAAAUUUUUUUAUAAUUAGUCUUUUCAUUGUUGUUAGAUAAUAAAACAUGAUUAAUACUUUAUGCGUGACUUGUCUUUUUAAUUUUUUUUAAAUAAGACGGACGGUCAAACAUUGGACACGGAAACCCAGGGCUUAGCUUUAC
rfam:Oryza sativa Japonica Group DNA, chromosome 1, cultivar: Nipponbare, complete sequence.